rnacentral:rRNA from 1 species
AGGUCAAGUUAAUAAGGGCAUAGGGAGAAUGCCUUGGCACUGAGAGCCGAAGAAGGACGUGACAAGCUGCGAAAAGCUGCGUGUAGGUGCAAAUA